UCAAUGCAGUUAAUUAUGUCUCUCCUAGAAGUUGGUUAUCAACUUCUCAUUUUGUUCUAGGAUUCUUCUUUUUUGUGGGCCAUUUAUUGGGUUGGGCUGUUCGCCCAUUAAUGCGGUACAUGAGCUGGGUUCAGAACAUCGUGAGACAGUUCGGUCCAUAUCCGGUGUGGGCGUUAGAGCAUUGAGAGGACCUUUCCCUAGUACGAGAGGACUAGGAAGGACGCACCUCUGGUGUACCAGUUAUCGUGCCUACGGUAAACGCUGGGUAGCCAAGUGCGGAGAGGAUAACUGCUGAAAGCAUAUAAGUAGUAAGCCCACCCCAAGAUGAGUGCUCUCUCCUCCGACUUCCCUAGAGCCUCCGGUAUCACAGCCGAGACAGCGACGGGUUCUCCACCCAUACGGGGAUGGAGCGACAGAAGUAUGGAAAUAGGAUAAGGUAGCGGCGAGACGAGCCGUUUAAAUAGGUGUCAAGUGGAAGUGCAGUGAUGUAUGCAGCUGAGGCAUCCUAACGAACGAACGAUUUGAACCU
rnacentral:ncRNA from 1 species